GAUGAACGCUGGCGGCGUGCCUAAUACAUGCAAGUCGAGCGAACGGACGAGAAGCUUGCUUCUCUGAUGUUAGAGGCGGACGGGUGAGUAAAACGUGGAUAACCUACCUAUAAGACUGGGAUAACUUAGGGAAACAGGAGCUAAAAUCGGAUAAUAUUUUGAACCGCAUGGUUCAAAAGUGAAAGAAGGUCUUGCCGUCACUUAUAGAUGGAUCCGAGCCGCAUUAGCUAGUUGGUGAGGUAACGGCUCACCAAGGCAACGAGCAAUAGCAGGUCUGAGAGGAGGAACGGCCACAGUGGGAAUGAGAAACGGACAAGACGCCUACGGGAGGCAGCAGUGGGGAAUCUUACGCAAUGGACGAAAGUCUGACGGAGCAACGCCGCGUGAGUGAUGACGGCCUUCGGGUUGUAAAGAUCUGUUAAGCGGGACGAAAGGCCUUCUUGCGAAUAGUGAGAAGGAUUGACGGUCCCGGAAUAGAAAGCCACGGCUAACUACGUG
rnacentral:rRNA from 1 species